rnacentral:tRNA from 1 species
CCAUCGGUGGUUCAAUGGUAGAAUGCUCGCCUGCCACGCGGGCGGCCCAGGUUCGAUUCCCGGCCGAUGCA